rnacentral:rRNA from 1 species
GCCAUCGGCCAUAUCAUGUUGAAUGCACCAGUUCUCGUCUGAUCACUGAAGUUAAGCAACAUUGAGCCUGGUUAGUACUUGGAUGGGUGACC